AGACAGGUGUCCCCUUCCUCCCUCACCGUUCCACGUGCGUCGCUCCAGAAGCUGCGCUCUCGGUGGAAGAGGACGACCUUCCCCGCUAGAGGAGGACCGUUCUUUGGUCAAGGGUGUACGAGUAGCUGCGAUCCCCUGCUAGAACAGCCAAACAAGCUCUCUCUACUUCAUAUAUUUUAUAUAGCAAACCUCUUUUUUAUAUA
rnacentral:sRNA from 1 species